rnacentral:lncRNA from 1 species
AGGUCAAAUCGAGAUAUUGAAUUUUCAUAUCUAUAUGUCGAUUUGAUCUCCGCUUCGCUUGGAGUUUCUUUCCCUGGUUCUCAUCGAUACUCUAAGCGAAAGAUCACCAUAAUCAUGAUGCUCUUCAUGAACGGCGUCAUGGAUUUGGCGUGAACGAAGGUGGUUCGUGGAUUCGGAUCGUAGGCUCGUGGAUUCGAGUGGCGUCGUGGAUUCGGCGUGAUUGAAGCUUCGUGGAUUCGAAGUGGAGGCGUUCGUGGAUUCGAACGUGAGGGCGUGGACAACCCGGAGGAUUGCACGAGAUUCAUAGGAGGUUAAGAGAGGUUGAGUCCGUGGAGUCGGUAAUCACCUUGUAAUCUUUUCUCUUAGUGAAUUAUUUUUUCGCGUGUUGGUCCCGUGGGUUUUUCUCCAAGUUGGAGUUUUCCCACGUAAAUCUCGGUGUGAUUUUUAUUUUCCGCAUUUAUUUUUGUUGCAUCGAGAUUUGUGGUUUUUGGCUAUUUCACCUAUUCACCCCCCUCUAGGUGAUAGAUACAAUCUAGAUAGAUCCUUGGACUCCUCAAAACUUUCAGCUCCUGGUUGGAGUGUGUGCGAAUUCUGAAGUGAGAAUUUCGCCCUAGUGAUGAUUGGGUCUACGCUUGCGAGCGAGAGGUGCUAUGUGUAUGUUGAGACAGGUUUAGGCUGUAGGCCUACGUAGUAUUGGUGGCCUUUGGACCACCAAUGGAAACCGAGGAAAGCGAUUUGGUGGAUAGCCUUAUCGAGAGGUUUGACUCGAAUUCACGAGCAAAGUGUUCAUGUGAGCUCUUUGCAAAAUGGUUUGACGUUGAUCGUGGCAUAUAGUAUCGAAAAAUGAAGUGCUCUUGGAGAGACCUUGAGCUUAUGGCAAGCCACGUGGAAUUUGAGGAUUGGAAGUGGGGAUGUGCCGAAGUGGACCAUCUCACCUUAGAGCAAGAGGUCGGUGCGGGAUUAGAGCACUCACGAUGAAGCGAUGCACCGGUGAUAUUGCUUUUAGGCAAUGUCAGUGAUCG